rnacentral:tRNA from 1 species
CGCAGAGUAGCCAAGGUGGUAAGGCAGAGGCUUCAUACGUCUCCUAUCAAGGGUUCGACUCCCUUCUCCGCAACCA